rnacentral:tRNA from 1 species
GACUGGAUAGCCUGGCGGUAAAGGCAUCACAGUGACAUUGGGUCUUGACUUACAAGCUGAGGGCCCAGGUUCAAAUCCUGGUCUAGUCA